UCCCUGGAGGACUAGUGGCUAGGCCUCGGCGCUCUCACCGCAGCAGCCUGCGUUCGAUUCCCGACCAGGGCG